rnacentral:rRNA from 1 species
CGGUAUUUUGACCGUGCGAAGGUAGCGCAAUCACUUGUCUUUUAAAUGGAGACCCGUAUGAAUGGCAUAACGAGGGCUUAGCUGUCUCCUCUUUCAAGUCAAUGAAAUUGAUCUUUCCGUGCAGAAGCGGGAAUAUAAACAUAAGACGAGAAGACCCUAUGGAGCUUUAGACACUAAAGCAGCCCACGUUAAACGCCCCUGGAUAAAGGAUUAAACGACAGUGGGCCCUGCCCUAAUGUCUUUGGUUGGGGCGACCGCGGGGAAUUAAGAAACCCCCACGUGGAAUGGGAGUACCCCUCCUACAACUAAGAGCUACAGCUCUAGUAAACAGAAUUUCUGACCAACAAGAUCCGGCAAUGCCGAUCAACGGACCGAGUUACCCUAGGGAUAACAGCGCAAUCCUCUUUUAGAGCCCAUAUCGACAAGGGGGUUUACGACCUCGAUGUUGGAUCAGGACAUCCUAAU